rnacentral:rRNA from 1 species
AUCACUUCGAGUGAGUAAGAUCCCUCAGAGACGAUGAGGUUGAUAGGUUCGAGAUGGAAGCGUGGUGACACGUGGAGUUGACGGAUACUAAUCGAUCGAGGACUUAACUAACUU